UACGAAGGGGGCUAGCGUUGCUCGGAAUCACUGGGCGUAAAGCGCACGUAGGCGGACUCUUAAGUCGGUGGUGAAAUCCUGGAGCUCAACUCCAGAACUGCCUUCGAUACUGAGAGUCUCGAGUCCGAGAGAGGUGAGUGGAACUGCGAGUGUAGAGGUGAAAUUCGUAGAUAUUCGCAAGAACACCAGUGGCGAAGGCGGCUCACUGGCCCGAUACUGACGCUGAGGUGCGAAAGCGUGGGGAGCAAACAGG
rnacentral:rRNA from 1 species